CUCUCCAUCCCCAGGCUUCACGUGGCACUGUAGGAGUGCAUGGAUGCGUCCGUGCCAAGAAGAGAGGGACUGAGAUGACCCCGGAGCCACUUGUUGCUCAAACACUCGACUACGCUGCCAGUACACCCUCACCGCUGACACCUCCACCAACGAUGUCUGGCUUUCAGAACUGUGGGAGAUAUUCUUGAUGUAGCCUCGGACCACUGACGGAAAGAAGGGUCGACAAGAAGCUGUGGGAGAAAAUCAGAAAAAGGUUUUGAAAACUUGCAUCACAUCAUGCUGUCAGCUCGUAACAAAAUACAAAAUCACGAAGAGGCAGAAACGUGUCCAUCCGGUCUCGUGUCCAGAGGCAUCAUUGUUAUCAUCCUCUCCUACAGCUGGAGAAAAAAGAGGGAGCUGACCGAGACACAGAAGAAGCUGAAUCUUCUUGCACUGGAGUUUGUUGUGGCAUUGAGUCCACUACCACAUAGUUUUAUUUAUUAUUUAUUUGUUUUUAUUUAUUAUUUAUUAUUUAUUUAUUUAUUUUAUUUAUUAUUAUUUAUUAUAUUUUUUCACUUUAUUUUAAUUCAUUUUUGUCAGUUUAGCUGUAAUUAAACAUUAGUCAUGGCGUUAAACAGAGAAAACGUGUUUCAAGUUCAAUAAAAGCAAAUUCUAAAAUCAAUGAAUAAUUGUUCUGAAUAAUUGUGAUUUCAUUAAGAGUCAUAAUAAUUGUGAUUAUGAUUUUUGCUAUAAUCGAACAGCCACUGUGUGUGUACUGCAUCUGGGUGGAAGACCUGGGGGAAAAAACCUCAAGGACUCAUCAAUCACAGUGGUCACGUGACUGUAGGCCUGCUGAAGCAGGGAUGGAACCACUGUCUCAAUGCUUCUGCUUCAAAAGAUGGAUACUGUGUCCAGCAUAACAUCACUAGUCGUGCAGAUUGGAGGAGCUGCUCAAGAGGACCAUGAGAAGAUGCAUGUUAGCCAGUAUUGCUCAGCGUUUCUGCAUUGAAGGAUUCAGUUGUAUCUUGCUGUUUGUGUUUUUUUUUUUUUUUUUAAUUGCUGCAGGUGGGCAGAGCUGAUCCUUUGAUUCCUUUGACCCUUUGAGACCAGGUGCAUGAA